rnacentral:rRNA from 1 species
CCUACGGGAGGCAGCAGUGGGGAAUCUUGCGCAAUGGGCGAAAGCCUGACGCAGCAACGCCGCGUGCGGGAAGAAGGCUUUCGGGCUGUAAACCGCUUUCAGCAGGAACGAAAAUGACGGUACCCGCAGAAGAAGGAGCGGCCAACUAUGUGCCAGCAGCCGCGGUGAUACAUAGGCUUCAAGCGUUGUCCGGAUUUAUUGGGCGUAAAGAGUUCGUAGGCGGUCGAGUAAGUCGGGUGUGAAAAUUCUGGGCUCAACCCAGAGACGCCACCCGAUACUGCUUGACUUGAGUUCGAUAGGGGAGUGGGGAAUUCCUAGUGUAGCGGUGAAAUGCGCAGAUAUUAGGAGGAACACCGGUGGCGAAGGCGCCACUCUGGAUCGAUACUGACGCUGAGGAACGAAAGCAUGGGUAGCAAACAGGAUUAGAUACCCUGGUAGUCCAUGCCGUAAACGGUGGGCACUAGGUGUGGGUUUCUAUUAACGAAAUCCGCGCCGUCGCUAACGCAUUAAGUGCCCCGCCUGGGGGAGUACGGUCGCAGACUAAACUAAUANAUAGAGCGNGAGAGUGCGACGACGACGACGAGGAGGUAGG